AUUGAACGCUGGCGGUAUGCUUAACACAUGCAAGUCGAACGAUGAGAAAGAGCUUGCUCUUUCGAUUAGUGGCGGACGGGUGCGUAACGCGUAGGAAUCUACCUAUUAGUGGGGACAACUUAGGGAAACUUAAGCUAAUACCGCAUACGCCCUACGGGGGAAAGAAGGGGAUCGCAAGACCCUCUGCUAAUAGAUGAGCCUGCGUAGGAUUAGCUAGUUGGUGGGGUAAAAGCUCACCAAGGCGACGAUCCUUAACUGGUUUGAGAGAAUGAUCAGUCACACUGGAACUGAGACACGGUCCAGACUCCUACGGGAGGCAGCAGUGGGGAAUAUUGGACAAUGGGCGAAAGCCUGAUCCAGCAAUACCGCGUGUGUGAAGAAGGCCUUAGGGUUGUAAAGCACUUUCAAUUGGAAGGAAAACCUCGAAGCUAAUACCUUCGAGUUUGACAUUACCUUUAGAAGAAGCACCGGCUAACUCCGUGCCAGCAGCCGCAGUAAGAC
rnacentral:rRNA from 1 species